UCGCCUGUUUUAUCAAAAACAUGUCUUUUUGAAAAUAAUAAAAAGUCUAAUCUGCCCACUGAAUUUAUUUAAAGGGCUGCAGUAUAUUGACUGUACAAAGGUAGCAUAAUCAAUAGUCUUUUAAUUGAAGACUUGUAUGAAUGAUUUGAUGAAAUAUGAACUGUCUCUUUUUUAAAAAUAAAAUUUAAUUUUUUAGUUAAAAAGCUAAAAUAAUUAUAAAAGACGAGAAGACCCUAUAGAGUUUUAUAGUUAUUUAAUUUAAAAAUUUUAUAUAUAAUUUAAAUUUAAAAUUAAUUAAUUAUUUUAUUGGGGUGAUAGAAAAAUUAAAAAAACUUUUUUUAAAAAUUUAACAUUAAUUUAUGAAAUUAUGAUCCAUAAUUUAUGAUUAAAAGAAUCAAUUACCUUAGGGAUAACAGCGUAAUUUUUUUUUUUAGUACAAAUAAGAAAAAGAGUUUGCGACCUCGAUGUUGGAUUAAGAUAAAAUUUAAAUGCAAAAGUUUAAAAUUUUUGAUCUGUU
rnacentral:rRNA from 1 species